CUUUUCUGUCAUGCAUCUGACAGCAAGCUGUACAAACUCUGCAGUCAUCAUAUCCAAGGCAGUGAGUUGUGAGGACUGCUUCCCUGAGAACACUGAGUGCAUUCUGGAAUAUUCCAAAUGUGUGCCACUUCCAUACAAAAGAAGUUCCAAUCCCGCAAGAGAGUUCACUCACCAGUGGGCUUCAUCAACAGACCAGGGCAAAGUCGGUCUGUCCCGCUACUACAACAUGCUACUUGACUAUGUCUGGAAGCCAUGGCUGCUGUCCUCAACAUGCUGUAAGUGUUUGUGUGUUUUCAGUGAGGGCUAUGUCACUGUGCACACUCUAAUUUGUUUGACAAAUGUGCAAUGUAAUGCAUUAAUACAGAAACGAAUCAUCAUUAUUGUAGCUUUUUAUAAUAGGGCUUAUUCGC